rnacentral:rRNA from 1 species
CCUACGGGUGGCAGCAGUGAGGAAUAUUGGUCAAUGGACGAGAGUCUGAACCAGCCAAGUAGCGUGAAGGAUGACUGCCCUAUGGGUUGUAAACUUCUUUUAUAUGGGAAUAAAAUGUUCCACGUGUGGGAUUUUGUAUGUACCAUAUGAAUAAGGAUCGGCUAACUCCGUGCCAGCAGCCGCGGUAAUACGGAGGAUCCGAGCGUUAUCCGGAUUUAUUGGGUUUAAAGGGUGCGUAGGUGGAUUGUUAAGUCAGUUGUGAAAGUUUGCGGCUCAACCGUAAAAUUGCAGUUGAAACUGGCAGUCUUGAGUACAGUAGAGGUGGGCGGAAUGCGUGGUGUAGCGGUGAAAUGCUUAGAUAUCACGAAGAACUCCGAUUGCGAAGGCAGUUCACUGAACUGCAACUGACACUGAGGCUCGAAAGUGUGGGUAUCAAACAGGAUUAGAUACCCGUGUAGUC